rnacentral:misc_RNA from 1 species
CGAAAUGCGAUAAGUAAUGUGAAUUGCAGAAUUCAGUGAAUCAUCGAAUCUUUGAACGCACCUUGCGCUCCCUGGUAUUCCUUGGAGCAUGCCUGUUUGAGUAUCAUGAAAUCUUCAAAGUAAAUCUUUUGUUAACUCAAUUGGUUUCUACUUUGGUAUUGGAGGUCUUUGCAGCUUCACACCUGCUCCUCUUUGUUCAUUAGCUGGAUCUCAGUGUUAUGCUUGGUUCCACUCGGCGUGAUAAGUUAUCUAUCGCUGAGGACACUGUAAAAGGUGGCCAAGGUAAAUGCAGAUGAACCGCUUCUAAUAGUCCAUUGACUUGGACAAUACUUUUAUGAUCUGAUCUCAAAUCAGGUAGGACUACCCGCUGAACUUAAGC